rnacentral:rRNA from 1 species
GAUGAACGCUGGCGGCGUGCCUCAAACAUGCAAGUCGAGCGGGGCUAUGUAAUAUCGCAAGGUAGAACAUAGCCUAGCGGCGAACGGGUGAGUAACACGUGGGUAACCUGCCUGGAAGACAGGGAUAACGAUUCGAAAGGGUCGCUAAUACCUGAUAAUAUCCUUUCAUCGCAUGGUGAUAGGAAGAAAGGGGAAACCCGCUUUCAGAUGGGCCCGCGUCCCAUCAGCUAGUUGGUAAGGUAAAGGCUUACCAAGGCGACGACGGGUAGCCGGUCUGAGAGGAUGUACGGCCACACUGGGACUGAGAUACGGCCCAGACUCCUACGGGAGGCAGCAGUUGGGAAUCUUAGGCAAUGGACGAAAGUCUGACCUAGCGACGCCGCGUGAGGGAAGAAGGCCUUCGGGUUGUAAACCUCUGUCUGGGGGAUGAGAACGGACGGUACCCCCGGAGGAAGCCCCGGCUAACUACGUG